UAAUGAUAGCACUGUAUUUCUUUAUUUUAUUGUGGCAUGGUUUCGAUUUUUGUGUUUUCGAAGCUAGGAAAAACAUAUUUCCAGAAGUCUUUCUGGUUUUCUACGAUAAACGAUUAUCGAUCGAGUCCACUGGAACAAUCGCAUAUCGCUGAUGAAUAGAAUUUUUUACGUGUAACAUUCAGAAUUGGCUAACGGAAAAUAUGACAUUUUUAAUAGAAGAGAAUAAUAGUUUUUUUUUUCUUUUUAUUGUGUUAUUCGACUAAUGAUAUUUGUAUUUUAAAUAAAUCUAACAUCAAUCUCAAAUUUUAAUCAAUUCUAACCAAAUUUUAUAAAUAUUUUAAUCAAUAUUUCAACCUAACCUCGCAAAAUUCAGUUACUCUAAAAUUUUCAAUUUCUUUUCAUAUGAAAGUUUUAAAGAAAUUUUAAUUUCAACGUAAUAUGAUUAAUGCAAAAUUAAAUAAAUGAAAUAUAACGUUCUAUUUUAGGGAAUAAUAAUCUUGACUACGUUAUUAUUCGAGAGACGAACCGUGACAGCUCCAAUUAUCCCGCUAAUGUAAUAGUCGUUGGUGAAGUGUCCCCGAAAUUUUCGUAGAACUGAAUUCGUAUUCAAAAUCCUUCUCUACACACAACCAAGCAAGAGCAUAACAACAACUACCAACAGAUGCAUUUGGUGUAUACAGUCAACUAACGAUGUGCUACUGCGAACACAAUAUGUUUCCACGAUAAAACCGAAACGAUGAAACAGAAGAGAACUUUCCCGCGGAGAUAAACGAGACACAUACCUAGAGAACGUUCAGAAACUGGGUCAAUCCGAAAGCAUUUGGGUCAACCAGACGGAAGUCCCUAAGGGAAACACGAUAAGGCAUGUUUGGUGGAAUUUAUGUCUCGUAAUUCGAAAACGCAAGAUGGAAUCAUAGAUUUCACCAUGGAUUACAGAGUCAUCGGUGGCCGUUGGUUGUAGCGCGGAAAUUGCGUCAAUUAUUCGAGGAAGCCGGCUUGGCCCGCAAAUUGCGCGUUCAUCCCUGCCUCCAGAGGGUUUUCAGUUUAUUGCAGACGUUUCAUUAAGAGAGGAGAGAAGAGGUUAUGUUCUGAACUCUAAAUCGAUUGCUGUAAGAUUUGAAGAAGAAAUUUUUUUCUAAGUUUAAAUUCUAAAUUGUAAGUAAUUAUAGUCAUUUGAAUAGAAAAACUAACCUAAAAUCUAAUACUAAAUCUCAAUCCUGACAUUUAACACGAACCUUAACCUAAUUUUGUACUUUGAUGCAUUUAUUGCAAUUUUCAUUGUAUUUCAUGUUCUCAAAUCAUAGUAGUGCAAUUUUUUAAUUAUUAUAUAUUGAAGAACCUAAUAUUUAACAUUUUAAU